rnacentral:pre_miRNA from 1 species
AUAGUACUCCCUCCAUCCGGAAAUACUUGUCAUCAAAAUGGAUGAAAAUGGAUGUAUCUACAACUAAAAUACAUCUAGAUACAUCCAUUUCAAUGACAAGUAUUUCCGGACGGAGGGAGUAAAUC